CUCAAUGGCGGGCCGGACAGGGGCGCUGCAAAGCGCGCUGGUGUCAGUGAGGCCAGUCGUUCCAACCUUGUUCGGUUCCGCCACCAGC
rnacentral:antisense_RNA from 2 species